rnacentral:rRNA from 1 species
GAUGAACGCUGGCGGCGUGCCUAAUACAUGCAAGUCGAGCGAACAGACGAGGUUCUUGCUCCCCUGACGUUACCGGCGGACGGGUGAGUAACACGUGGAUAACCUGUCUAUAAGACUGGGAUAACUUCGGGAAACUGGAGCUAAUAUCGGACCAUAUAUUGAACCGGAUGGUUCAAUAGUGAAAGCCGGUUUUGCUGUCACUUAUAGAUGGUUCCUAGCUGCAUUAGCUAGUUGGUAAGGUAACGGCUUACCAAGGCUACGAUGCGUAGCCGACCUGAGAGGGUGAUCGGCCACACUGGAACUGAGACACGGUCCAGACUCCUACGGGAGGCAGCAGUAGGGAAUCUUCCACAAUGGGCGAAAGCCUGACGGAGCAACGCCGCGUGAGUGAUGAAGGUCUUCGGAUCGUAAAACUCUGUUGUUGGGGAAGAACAAGUGUGUAACUAACUAUGCGCGUCUUGACGGUACCUACACAGAAAGCAACGGCUAACUACGUG